rnacentral:lncRNA from 1 species
GAGCAACAUGUGGUCUGGUACUGCUAGAUUCAUGAGUCCCCAUCUGCUCAGAAUUCAAGAUGGGAUCUCUGCUCUUAGCAUCAAGACCCUUUUUGAUGAAUGCAAAUGGUGGCUGACAGAAUGUGACUCAGAGGAAAGACUGACAGUCUACAUCAGUCUCCUGAUUUACAGCACAUUUAACUCUCCUGAGUCAACACAAAGAAAAAGAAACAGGAUAUUAGUAACGAGAAGAAAAGCCAUGUGAAUCCAUAGGGAGAAGGCAGCUGUCUGCAUACCAGGAGGAGAGCUCCCACCCGAACCCAACCAUAGUGCCACCCUGAUCUUGUACUUCCAGCCUCUCAGCUGUGAGAAAAUAAAUGUCUGUUGUUUAAGAC